GUCUGCUGACAUGCACCCCGAACAAGCUCGAUUCCAUCUUAAUCUUUGUAGCUAAGCAGGGUUGGGCCUGGUUAGUACUUGGAUGGGAGACCAUCUAGUAAGACCAGGUGCUAUAGAUG
rnacentral:rRNA from 1 species